rnacentral:rRNA from 1 species
AGUGAACGCUGGCGGCGUGCUUAACACAUGCAAGUCGAACGAGAACGGAAUAUAGCUUGCUAUAUUUGUCAGCUAAGUGGCGCACGGGUGAGUAAUUUAUAGAUAACCUGCCCUUAAGAAAGGAAUAACAGUUGGAAACGACUGCUAAUGCCUUAUAUGCCUUUAAUACAUAAGUAUGCAAGGGAAACGCUUUAGUGCUUAAGGAUGGGUCUGUAUGGUAUCAGCCUGUUGGUGAGGUAAUGGCUCACCAAGGCUAUGACGCCUAACUGGUUUGAGAGGAUGAUCAGUCACACUGGAACUGAGACACGGUCCAGACUCCUACGGGAGGCAGCAGUGGGGAAUAUUGCACAAUGGACGAAAGUCUGAUGCAGCAACGCCGCGUGGAGGAUGACACAUUUCGGUGCGUAAACUCCUUUUAUAUAGGAAGAUAAUGACGGUACUAUAUGAAUAAGCACCGGCUAACUCCGUGCCAGCCGCCGCGGUAA